rnacentral:rRNA from 1 species
UACGGAGGGUGCGAGCGUUAAUCGGAAUUACUGGGCGUAAAGCGCGCGUAGGCGGUUUGUUAAGUCGGAUGUGAAAGCCCCGGGCUUAACCUGGGAAUGGCAUUCGAUACUGCAGAGCUAGAGUAUGGUAGAGGGAAGUGGAAUUUCCGGUGUAGCGGUGAAAUGCGUAGAUAUCGGAAGGAACACCGGUGGCGAAGGCGACUUCCUGGGCCAAUACUGACGCUGAGGUGCGAAAGCGUGGGUAGCAAACAGGAUUAGAUACCCUGGUAGUCCACGCCGUAAACGAUGAGAACUAGAUGUCGGGAGGAUCUGCCUUUCGGUGUCGCAGCUAACGCGUUAAGUUCUCCGCCUGGGGAGUACGCCGGCAACGGUAAAACUCAAAGGAAUUGACGGGGACCCGCACAAGCGGUGGAGCAUGUGGUUUAAUUCGAUGCAACGCGAAGAACCUUACCUGCCCUUGACAUACUCGGAACUUUCCAGAGAUGGAUUGGUGCCUUCGGGAACCGAUGUACAGGUGCUGCAUGGCUGUCGUCAGCUCGUGUCAUGAGAUGUUGGGUUAAGUCCCGCAACGAGCGCAACCCUUAUCCUUAGUUGCCAGCGAUUCGGUCGGGAACUCUAGGGAGACUGCCGGUGACAAACCGGAGGAAGGUGGGGACGACGUCAAGUCAUCAUGGCCCUUACGA